CCCCCCCCCAAUUUUCUACUUUUCUAGAAUCUGGUGAGGAAAUUUCAUAAUUUGUUUGCUUAUUUUCAUUAUUUAGUGGAUAAUUUGUGUAAUUCUUAGAUUUCUGUUUGUUUUUAGACAUUAAUAAUUUUUUUAUAGGCAGUAAAUCGUUGUGUACAAAAAUGAAAAGAAAUAAUGUUAAACAAUAAAAAUGAUUUUUUUUUUAAUUUAUUUUUUUAUUUCCUUGACUGACUUUAUUUAUUUAUGCUUCAAGCUAAGACCUAUGUUACCAGAAUGGGUCACAUUUCUAGAAUCUUAUUGAAGCUAAGUUUUUUAAGGUUUUUAGUUUGAUAGGAUCAUUGUUUAACCUUUGCUCAAGUCAAUAUGUUGCUUAUGUGUAACAAUAUAUAUAUCUUUGUACUUUGAAAGACAAAAGAUCAAUAUCAUACCAAUAAAAAUUAAAUAAAAAAUUUGUUUGUUUAAAAUUUAUAACUUUAAAUAUUCCACAAUCAUUGUUUUUGGAUCAUUGAGAAGCUUUUACAUUAUAUAAUCUCUUCUGUUCUUGUAAAAGAUUCUUGGGUAGAGUUCUUUAGAUUAGUGAGAAACCUGGUAUAGUGCAGUUUUGAUUCCAUUAAUUAAUACAUAUUUGGGGUGGGGCAUUACCCUUGAAACCUGAUUUAAAAAUCUUCAAAAGGCUAUAGUUGGUAAACCACAAGGCCUUUAAAUUUAACAGGAAUGUUCUAAUGUGGAUUUUGCUUAUAAAGUGUAGAAAUUGAGCUAUAACAUGAGGAAAAAACUGAAGUCACUUAGCUAUUUUGCAAGCCAUACAACAUGCUUGCCACUGAAAUAAAGAUUUCUAUAUGGGUUGACCCUUCACUCCAUUGAUAAAACAUAAAAUCUUUUCUUUUUAAAAGACUAGCAUCCUCUCACGCUUCAUUCAAUGAAAAUAAAAAGAUUUUAUUUUCAUACCAAAAAUUUAAUACCUGUUUUAAAAAGUUACAAAGAGAAGUUUCUUGAUUGUUUUGUUUUUUUAAUUAUUUUAUUUUGCUAUUUGGAGCCUUGGCUGUAUAAAGUAUAUCUACUAAAUAGUUAUUUAUAUUUUGUCUUUGGCAUGACAUGCCUGAACAAGGGGUUGGUGAUACAUUUGUAACAGUUCAAGAGUUCAGAUGUAUGCUAUUGUGUUAGUUAUUUUAAAAUUGUUUGUAUAUUUUGGAACUGUGAAAGAUUUUUUUUCCACACUUAAUUGUUUGAUCUGUAUUUUGUAUGAUGUUGAAAUACAUUUUGUUUCCAUUUUUUUUUUAUUGAUAAUUGUAUUUAUAAUUUUGUGGGCAAAUGAUUAAACUAUAAAAUAUCU